UACGGAGGGGGCUAGCGUUGUUCGGAAUUACUGGGCGUAAAGCGCACGUAGGCGGCUUUGUAAGUAAGAGGUGAAAGCCUGGUGCUCAACACCAGAACUGCCUUUUAGACUGCAUCGCUUGAAUCCAGGAGAGGUGAGUGGAAUUCCGAGUGUAGAGGUGAAAUUCGUAGAUAUUCGGAAGAACACCAGUGGCGAAGGCGGCUCACUGGACUGGUAUUGACGCUGAGGAGCGAAAGCGUGGGGAGCGAACAGG
rnacentral:rRNA from 1 species